CUUCAUUUCAGCGAAAAUCAGGUGGUUUCUCUUCGAGAAUCCCCGAUUUAACACGAAAAUCACGCGUUUUCUCUUCGCAAAUCCCCGAUUUAUCACGAAAAUUACGCGUUUUCUCAUCGAGAAACCCCCAUUAACUCGAAAAUCACGCGUUUUCUAUUCGGAAAUCCGCCAUUUAAGCGAAAAUCACACGUUUUCCUUUGAGAAGCUCACAUUUAAGCGAAGAUCAAGUGCUUUCUUUUCAAGAAUCCCCCAUUAUACCCAAAAAAUCACGCGUUUUCUCUUUAUAAUCCCCCAUUUAACCCGAAAAUCACACGUUUCCUAUUCGCAAAUCCCCCAUUUAAGCGAAAAUCACGCGUUUUCUCUUUGAGAAUCCCCCAUUUAAGCGAAAAUCACGCGUUUUCUCUUUGAGAAUCCCCCAUUUAACCGAAAAUCACGCCGUUUCUCUUCGAGAAUCCCCCAUUUAAGCGAAAAUCACGCGUUUUCUCUUCGAGAAUCCCCCAUUUACCCGAAAAUCACGCGUUUUCUCUUCGAGAAACCCCCAUUUAACCCGAAAAUCACACGUUUUCUCUUCGGAAAUCCCUCAUUUUAACCCGAAAAUCACGCGG
ensembl:lncRNA